ensembl:snoRNA
AGGUCAUUUCAAAAGGUUUUGUCAGACUGUGGGACAAAAAACUCUUAGGGCUGUGACUGAAAAAUGAAGGUUUCUCCAGGAAGCUGUAAAUGCUCAAUAGUGACCUAUUUUCCUGAGGAGAUAUAAAG